AGUGAGGUUUAGGGUCACUGUGGAGGGAGAGAGAAGAUAGUUGGCCUUAAUUAGCUCCAAAAAAAGCCCGGAACUCCUGGGAUUAAUCCAAAAUCAAGCAGAACUUCUGGUGGAGAGAUCCAAGCUCCCAAAUACCAUGGAAGAGUCAAAGAACUAAGGCAGGCCACAGUUAGCCCAGAGGAGGAAUUGAGAAGAAAUUGUAUGUCUCCUGAAUACAAGCCAGACACUCUUUGCCCUAAAUACCCACUUCUGGAGAAGGAAAAUUAACUGCUUUGAAAUAGAGAACAUUUGGAAGAGAAUCCAUUUUCAUCUGACAGGAAUGGUUUGAUGAGUCUUCUCUCAAAGCCAGGCAAUGGAUAACCUGAAUUUUUGAGUCUUUUCAACCCUGGAAAUCUAUGGUGCCAUAAAAUGGUUGUUUUAAUGAUAAAGAAAACAAAUCAGGAAUAUCCCAGAAGGCUUUACCAAGAAUGUGGGACUGUGCUGUGGCUUUAAGGAUUUGGCCAGAAGGAGGUCAGAGGAGGACAGAGCAAACUAGAGCAAUCAUAUCUCAACAUGUGUUCACGUCCAUGUGUCUACACUCUACCCUCAAAUCCAGAAGAUUAAAGAACCAGAGAAUGUUAAAAAUGGAAGAGACCUUGACUAUUAUUCAAUAUAAUCCUAUCAUUUUAUAGAUGAAGAAACUAGGCCAAGACAGGGUAACUGUGACUUGUCAAGGUUACACACCUAGGAGGAGCAAAGCCUGGACUUAAACGAAGUUUUC
rnacentral:lncRNA from 1 species